rnacentral:rRNA from 1 species
GAUGAACGCUGGCGGCGUGCCUAAUACAUGCAAGUCGAGCGAACAGACGAGGAGCUUGCUCCUCUGACGUUAGCGGCGGACGGGUGAGUAACACGUGGAUAACCUACCUAUAAGACUGGGAUAACUUCGGGAAACCGGAGCUAAUACCGGAUAAUAUAUUGAACCGCAUGGUUCAAUAGUGAAAGACGGUUUUGCUGUCACUUAUAGAUGGAUCCGCGCCGCAUUAGCUAGUUGGUAAGGUAACGGCUUACCAAGGCAACGAUGCGUAGCCGACCUGAGAGGGUGAUCGGCCACACUGGCACUGAGACACGGUCCCGACUCCUACGGGAGGCAGCAGUAGGGACUCUUCCGCAAUGGGCGAAAGCCUGACGGAGCAACGCCGCGUGAGUGAUGAAGGUCUUCGGAUCGUAAAACUCUGUUAUUAGGGAAGAACAAAUGUGUAAGUAACUAUGCACGUCUUGACGGUACCUAAUCAGAAAGCCACGGCUAACUACGUG